rnacentral:lncRNA from 1 species
GUAGAGUAUUCUAUAUCCUGUCAGUGAUGUUAUCCAGGUAGAGUAUUCUAUAUCCUGUCAGUGAUGUUAUCCAGGUAGAGUAUUCUAUAUCCUGUCAGUGAUGUUAUCCAGGUAGAGUAUUCUAUUUCCUGUCAGUGAUGUUAUCCAGGUAGAGUAUUCUAUAUCCUGUCAGUGAUGUUAUCCAGGUAGAGUAUUCUAUUUCCUGUCAGUGAUGUUGUCCAGGUAGAGUAUUCUAUAUCCUGUCAGUGAUGUUGUCCAGGUAGAGUAUUCUAUAUCCUGUCAGGGAUGUUGUCCAGGUAGAGUAUUCUAUAUCCUGUCAGUGAUGUUGUCCAGGUAGAGUAUUCUAUAUCCUGUCAGUGAUGUUGUCCAGGUAGAGUAUUCUAUAUCCUGUCAGUGAUGUUAUCCAGGUAGAGUAUUCUAUAUCCUGUCAGUGAUGUUAUCCAGGUAGAGUAUUCUAUUUCCUGUCAGGGAUGUUAUCCAGGUAGAGUAUUCUAUAUCCUGUCAGUGAUGUUGUCCAGGUAGAGUAUUCUAUAUCCUGUCAGGGAUGUUGUCCAG